GGGACAGGAAGUACGCUGGCCAACAGGAAACUGUUCCCCUCGGCAUGCCAAACAUUGUCCACAGCAAUGUUUGGACGACCUUUCUAAUCCGAGCUGUUAGUGCUGAAUCCACAGUUUUGUUUUUCACGUGGGAAAUUCACCAUUGAAACAGAAACUUGCACCUUGUUUUAAAGGGAAGUACAGAAAACCACAGUACAGUUCAAGCCCAAUCCUCUCUAGGAAUUCCAGGGGGAAAUGCCUCCAGCCCCACCCGGCUCCUCUCUGCAGGGAGACGUCUGCCUGCUUCCCUUUCAUCAGUGCCAGAGUCUUCAGAGUGCGGCUUGCCUGGAAGAGUCAUGACAUGACGCAAACGUUUUUUUCCAAGAAGCCCCUCCUCUCAUCGGAGCAGUAUGACUCACAUUGACGGGGCACUGAGUUCAGCAGACUCAGCUCGACGCACAAUGACCGAUAACUGUCGAAGUAAAAGCCAUUUUCUUUUUUUCAUGGCAUGUGUAAAUAGAUUUGUGUUUUAAUUGUGAAUCUGUUUUUUUUUUCUUUUAUUGUGCACUGCCAUGAGCGUAGCAAAUAAAAAUGUAAUUAAACAAUUAAAUGACUUCUAAGUUGAAACUUUGUUCCUAUCCCUAAUACUAAUAGCUCUGUAUUAUAAAAGCAGAUCUGAUUAUAUGAGUCAAGACUUUCAAUAUUUGAUGUAAUAUCUUUUCUUGCACAUACUCAGUUACACACAC